ACCGUCUAAUUUAGCGGAGGUAAAGAAACCAACAAGGAUUCCCUUGGUAAUGGCGAGUGAACGAGGAGAAGCCCAGCGCGGAAUCGGUGUAGCACCACUAAGAAAUGUAGCGUAUAGGUGUGGUUUUCAGUUUGUCCUGCAUGUCCAAAGUCCCUUUGAUAGAGGCCAUUCCUGAGAAGGGGCAAGGCCUGUGCGGGCCGCGAGACCCGUGGAGCAAGCUGUAUACUUUGAAGUCGUGUUGCUUGAAAGUGCAGCCUAAAGUGGGUCAUAAACUCCAUCUCAAGCCAAAUAUAGAAUCGUAUUUCACAGCAAAACAAGUACUGUGGAAG
rnacentral:ncRNA from 1 species